GACACGCUGGCGGCGUGCCUGACACAUGCAAGUCGGACGGUUCUUGCACCUUCAAGCUUGCUUGCUGGUGCAGGGAUAGUGGCGGACGGGUGAGUAACGCGUGAACAUCUACCCAUUGGAGGGGGACAACCCGUCGAAAGGCGGGCUAAUACCGCGUAAGCCGUGAGGUGAGAGGCUGCCUAUUGGUGGCCGCCGAUGGAUGGGUUCGCGUCCUAUCAGCUGGUUGGUGGGGUAACGGCCUACCAAGGCGAAGACGGGUAGCCGGUCUGAGAGGAUGGCCGGCCACACUGGAACUGAGACACGGUCCAGACUCCUACGGGAGGCAGCAGUGGGGAAUAUUGGGCAAUGGGGGUAACCCUGACCCAGCGACGCCGCGUGAGGGACGAAGGUUUUCGGAUCGUAAACCUCUGUUGUACGGGAAGAAGGAAUUGACGGUACCGUACGAGAAAGCCCCGGCAAACUACGUG
rnacentral:rRNA from 1 species